rnacentral:tRNA from 1 species
GCGGGUGUGGUUUAGUGGUAGAAUAUCUGCCUUCCAAGCAGAGGACGAGAGUUCGAUUCUCUCCACCCGCA